AAGUUCUGUUCAAAAAGCAUGUAUCACGUGACGGAGAUUUUCCCAUUUUUAUCCCACAUACAUCAUUAUAUGUUUUCAUUGCCUCAUUUUGAACUUUAAAUGAACUUUCUUCAGACACUUGCACGAAGUGUCAUUUAAUAUAACCAACCUAAUAGUCAUAUCCGUAUCAGCUUUCUGUCACAUUAUACACUAUAUAUUAUUGUAAUGAAAAUAAUUUUUUAUAUUUUGAUUAUAAAGCUUUAAAUAAAAAAAAUAUCUAUUUGAUAAAAUUUGAAUUUUGUCAAAAAUCUUCCCUAGCUUCAUGUAUAAGAGAUUUGUUAAAGGGGCGUAAUCGCCAUGCUUUAGUAAUGAAUUUCUAAUCAUCAACCAAAAUUUGAGUGUUAAUCCUUGAGCUAAAAACAAGAUACAGAGCUCACAAUUCUUUGGUAUGUAUUAGAGUUUGUACCAUGUUUUUGUUUUCAUUUGUUUAAUUAUUGGUCAAUAUUCAUUCUUUUUUAAGCCAAUUUUGAUAUUUGCUGAUUUGUUUUUGAUAUGAUAACAGCUUCUAGCGCAUUCAUUUUAGGUCAAGACUGUAAAAAAUGUAAAUAAAAAUAUUAUCUCAGAUUUUAUCACAUAAAAAGGCAUAAUGAGCCCUCGCUGAUCACUUGACGACGGACACCAAAAAUUUUAAGUGACUAUUAGAAGUUCCUUAUUUGAGCAUUGUACACACUCAAUAUGAAAAACAGAUUAUAACUUAUGUUAUUUUCCUUUUUAUACAAUGACAAUAACUUAAUUAAAAUACAUGUAUUUAUAUGUAAUUCUUUUAUUUCACAAUUAAGUUUUUUUUAAAAUUACCUGAAUUUGAAACAAAGAAGUAAUAGGUUGUAAAAAUCAAGUAUGUAAAAUUACAAAUGAGUAGAUUGUUUUGUGUAAAAUUUGUACUCCGUUAAACAAAUUUUCUUUGUUUAUUAACAUGUAAAAGAUUGCAUGAUAUUUUUCAUAACAUUGAUUGUACAUUUGAAUAAAAAUGCUGUCAACUUGG
rnacentral:sRNA from 1 species